rnacentral:rRNA from 1 species
UACAGAGGUGGCAAGCGUUGUUCGGAUUUACUGGGCGUAAAGGGCGCGUAGGCGGCCUCCGCAAGUCAAUUGUGAAAUCUCCGAGCUUAACUCGGAAAGGUCAACUGAUACUGCGGGGCUAGAGUGCGGAAGGGGCAACUGGAAUUCUUGGUGUAGCGGUGAAAUGCGUAGAUAUCAAGAGGAACACCUGCGGCGAAGGCGGGUUGCUGGGCCGACACUGACGCUGAGGCGCGAAAGCUAGGGGAGCGAACGGG